GACGGGGCCCGCACAAGCGGUGGAGCAUGUGGUUUAAUUCGAAGCAACGCGAAGAACCUUACCAGGUCUUGACAUCCCCUGACCAACCCGAGAGAUCGGGCGUUCCCCCGUUCGGGGGGACAGGGUGACAGGUGGUGCAUGGUUGUCGUCAGCUCGUGUCGUGAGAUGUUGGGUUAAGUCCCGCAACGAGCGCAACCCUCGACCUUAGUUGCCAGCAUUCAGUUGGGCACUCUAAGGUGACUGCCGGCUAAAAGUCGGAGGAAGGUGGGGAUGACGUCAAAUCAUCAUGCCCCUUAUGACCUGGGCUACACACGUGCUACAAUGGGCGGUACAAAGGGUCGCGAACCCGCGAGGGGGAGCCAAUCCCAAAAAGCCGGCCUCAGUUCAGAUUGUAGGCUGCAACUCGCUUGCAUGAAGAUGGAGUUGCUAGUAACCGCAGGUCAGCAAUACUGCGGUGAAUACGUUCCCGGGUCUU
rnacentral:rRNA from 1 species